UCCAGUAGUCGUGGUGACGGUAAGAUUGGUGGUGCUGGCGGUGGUUAUACUGUUCCAUACACACCCACACACACUGCCAUGAACACUCAAAAGACACUCUUAUAUACCGAAAACAUUCGUAAACACACUCAAACACACCAACAGCAUGCCUACACACACACACACACACACACAUGAAGUGUUGCUAUCACCGACAGAUUUCAAAUAGUGCCAAUCACCAAUCACCAUGCGGCAAGACAAGCAGUGCAAUUACACGCCUUCACCACAACCUCCACACUGCCUUAUCUUCAUCAAUUAAAGGCUCAGACGUGAAGACAGAAGUAAUAGAAAAAAGGAGGAGAAAUAAAGGAGGAGUACGAAGAAUGAACGAGAAAUAUAGACGGAAUAGGAGAAGGAGCUAAAGUGGAAUAAUUAGACAGACCUACAGACGACCCCCGCACGGAAGACCAACGACUUAUGUGCCUCAGACAGUCAGCUCUCCUACGGCGGUGUCAAUGGCAUCUCGAAGCAGCGCAUGUGUGAUGGCUUCAGUGACUACUGCAGUAACGGAGAGGAUGAGUUUGUACAGGUGUGUGGCAUUGACGAGUGCCGGGAGAAGAAUGUCGGGUGUGUGUGCAUCAACACUCGAGAGUCAUACUGCUACUACCGCCAGUGCCGGCCAUGCAGACUCGUCAGGAAGUUCAACUGUGAAGACGUUGACAAGUGCGUGGAGUCGCCCAGAUCCUCUCUCAGUGGUAGGGCUGGGCAGGAUUCUAUAAAACGAAGUAAUCGCGAGUUCGAUUACUUGCCCUGUUGGAUUCGUGGGAUUCGAAUCCUCCACGAAUCCUAUGUACUCUUAACAGCCCAGGACGCCCGAGAUUCUUCCUCAGCCAGUGAUAUUGUCUGCCAGGCGCGAGAUUCGUUGGUGUUUGCAAGGGAAUCCAGGAUUCCCCUCCACCUGUCACAAACAAACAUCACGACUCUCGCCCUUUGGUAGAAUUUGCCGAGAUGCAGACCGUGUCUCCCAUGAUGCUUACCAAGUGGUGUGUGGUGGAGUGUGGUGUGAGUACUCCCUGGACUGCGACUUCACUGUGACCCGAGAGAAGGUGGCCACUCAAUGCUGAGGUCACACAGCUCCCUUCCUUAUGCAGGAAAGUCAAGCCAAGGUCCCUGAAUGCUGCUAAGGAAACACACUGCUGCUGGAACACUGCACCACCAAGCCAAGCCAAGCCAAGCCACAACACAACACAAGCCUUCUACAACACCUACAGUCAUCAACAACACCCAGAUUACAAGACAAAACCUGGAGCCAUGAAGAACAGUUAGGAUAGAUUAGCAGUUUUUUUUUUUUUAAGGACAUUUAAGACAAGUUUGACAUGUUUUUCAGGGUAUUUUG